GAGCGUGGGAAUUUUCUUGGGGUUCUUCCUGUGACUGCCCGAGUGCGUGGAAACUCUUCCCGGAAAGCACAUACAGCGUUAUCCAGUGAAUUUAGUGCUGGAGGUGAGAUCAUAUAUAGUUCCUGAACUAUCCUCUCUAUCAAAUGCAAAUCAUUGAGAUGAAGAUGCUUUAUCAAUAUCUCUCAUUUUCUUCAGAUCUUACCUGGAAAGCCAGUCUCAUCCUCAUGGAUUUACCUACUCUUCAACACUACAGCAGUGAUUCUGUGAAUGACUAAAUAAAUGGAUUUCUUUUUUAUUGA